GCAACACUGCCAUCGUGAGGAAAUUGCUGGAAAAAGCCCCAAGGUUUCUUUUCUGAAAAGACUUUUACUUUGGAAAGGUCCAUUCGGUGGGGAGGCUGAUGGGCCGGGCCCCUAGCCUGAGCUCAGUGCCUCCUCCAGAGGCCUACCUGGAGCUCUGGAUAAAGGUGGGGUCCAGGUGUAGGUGGUGGUCGGUGGGGAGGCAAGACUGCCAGUAGCCGCCAGGAAGUCAGGGCACAGGAAGUCGUGGGGUGGGGUCUGGGUAUUCGCCCACUGUGGGCGGGACCAGAGGAAACCACUAACAGACAAAGUACUCGGCCUGGCCUGCGGGUCUCUCUCCCAGCCCCUCUGAGCACGUGGUGUUCCCAUGCUCUCGGACCUGGGCCUUAUGUGGUAGGAGAGUCUGAGCGCUGAGGACACGACAAUUCCUGGUGGCUUAUAGCAGGAGCAGAUGGGCUUGCUGGAGGUCUCAGGUGCACCCAAAUGGGAGCUGGGAGAGCCUGAAGACAAAUGGGACUAUCCAGCCAAGCCAAGAAUGGUUACACUUCUGUUACAAGAUCAGACUUUGCACAAACUGAUGGGAACCAAAAACAAAUGAAGAGGAUUCAAGAUGAACCCACAUUUCAAAAGUCCUUGUCUGCUGGAGGUGGCAUUACCUGUGACCUCGCCUCACUUCUCCGUAUAUGGCUGUUGUAGCAGGUACAUUGUAAAGAAGCAUGAUUGUUUCUAGAAAUGCAAAAACAGGUGGCAAAAUUGUAAAACGUGGACAUUCCAAAGAAUAUUUGAUGAUGUUUUUAAAAGCCUUCAAGCUACAAGCCCUGGAUCCCUAAGAAUUGCUCACUGAAGCAAAAAACAUGGCAAGAUGUUGGGGAUCAAAGCUGAGUGAAGAGCAGACCUACAAAGCCUUGGUGGAAUAAUUCUUGAAAACAUGGCUGAUGAGGGAAGAAAAAGUAAAGUGUUGGAACUUUGGGAUCAAACCGUCCUAGGUGUCUAAUACAAGGUAAAUGAAAUGGUAAAAUAAAGUAUGUCUUUUUGUACUUAUUACAUACAUGAUUAAUUCAAUUUGAAUACACAAAUAUGUAAGGAUUCGAAAAAGUGAAUAGGCACAAGGGAAGAAUCUGGAAAGCAUACAAACAGCUAACAGUGUCUAACUUUCUAGAGUGAUGUUUCCAAUGGCUUGCCUUCAACUUUUAAUUUUAUACUUGUCUGAAAUUUCUAAAUGUUGAAAGUGAGAAAAGCUUACAUUCAAGAUUAUUUUUCUUAAAAAUCAAGAAACCAACACAUACCAAUCUGUAGUUAAGAAAAGGGUAUAUCAAAAGAUGUAUUUUUCUUCUAAAAAUGUGCACAAGUCUAUGUACAUGCAAGACUUAAAAGCCUCGGACUUAAUUUUUAUGAAAAUGUAAUAUUUCCAAAUUCUGCUUGUCAGAAAAUCCAGUUUUCUAAAGCAUAUUUGAUGUCAUAUGAAGAGGCUUAUGUGAUGUAAGACCUGAGAAAACAGUAAUAGAAGGAAGCAACUUGAAUGGCAAGGAUAUUCUAUGUGUAUCAUGAAGUCCAAAGCCAUACCAACAGAUCCCAACAGCCUGCACACAUGUGCCCACACAUACACAAGUAUGUAAUAAAUGUAACAUAAAGGAGCAGAAUGCAAUAGGUCCAACAUCAGUGGCAUAUUUAUUGAGUCCCUGUGAAUUAAGAGUAUCAUUUUUUUGCUCAAUUGACUGAUUCUUUUCCAGAUGCAAGUUAUUCUUAUCAACAAUGAAGGAAUAUUAUGUGAUUUAACCAAAAAAAAAUUACCAGGUUGCUCAUUAAUAGUAAAUGCUGUUGGCAAGUACCCACUGUCCAAUGUUGAAUCAAAAACUCAUGACACCAAACUCCAUGUACAGUUUGAUGAGGAUGGCUGUUUAGAGUGUGUGUGUGAGUAUGUGUGUGUCACAUUGUGCUGAGGAAUAUGGGGAUAUAAUGAUGAGAUGUAGACUAAAUCUAUUUAGCUCUUGGGAAUAAUUAUAUAUCACUUGUAAUAUUUAAACCAGCGUACUCAUCAGGCUUCUUAUUAAUAGUGGUUCCCUUGGGAAAGAGGGAUAUGGGCUAAAGCGUUUCCAUUUGUUCUUGACAGAUUGUGUAUUCUAAGAGAUUUUUCGAGAAUCCUCUAAUAUAUUUGUCAUUUGAGAGCCAAUCGGGACAAUACGUGCAGAAGAAGUUAUUGAUGUAAACUGGAUUUGUUGGCCGUUUGAGACCUAAUGUGUUUAUAUCUCUAACUGAUCACAGAAAAGAGGAUUAAGGAUACCCUGUUUUGAAAAUCCUUGUGUGCUUGAGUGGGCAUUACUUGUGACUUCAGUGCACUUUAUGUAUGGCUAAUGUAUCUGGUAAUUUUGUAAGCGGGAAUGCUUAAUUCUAAGAAAUGCAUAAAAGUUGAGAGGCAACAUUAGAAAUUGGAAGUAUUCCAAGGAAUAUUUAAUGAUGUUUGCAAAGAACUCCAAACUAUAAUCGGUGAAGGAAGUGAUGUUUGAACAUUUGAGGUACGAGGGAACUAGGAUUUUAGGUUAAAAAAUACAUGAGCAAGAUGGGAGAAUGUAUAGCAUUAUAAGUUAUUCUAGUUUUGAUUGGUACCAUUUAUUUUUGGCUUCAUAAUUUCUCAAAAUGUUAACAGGUUGCCAUCAGCAGGUGUCACUCUUAAUUCCUUGGGAGACCUCUUUCUAGAAUAAAAUGUAAAGAAAUUUCAAGCUGGGGAAAAUAUAUGUUGAUGUGGGACCAUGCAGUUUAUAUUAGGUUAUGCAGAAGAUUUGUGCAAAAUUGCACCCAAUAGAAGUCAAAUUAUAAUUAAGGAGAAAUGUGUGUGUGUGUGUGUGUGUAUAAAAUAAUGAGGCAAUAAGCAUUUUUUAUAAUGUAUUUACUAAACUGAAGAGUUGAAAAUUUAUAUAAUAUUCUCAAAAUGCCCAGGAAUCAGGAGGAAAAAUUUCUUAUGUAAACCAUAAUGUAACAUCCAAUUUUAAUAUAAAUUUAUUGUGUAUGAAUGUAAAUAUAGAAGUCUGUGUAUUGGGAGGAGUGGAAAGACAUAAUCCAAAAGGUUAUCAGUGGUCAUAACAAGUUUUAUGGCAGUACUUUAUCCUCGAUCAGCACAUGGUUAUUUUUGAAUCCUUGGCAAACAUAGUUACUGAGGAAAAUGGUUUUAAGACUGAUCUCUUGAGAGAUAAAUGGUAAUACGUAUACACUUAGACCCUCAUCAGUAGAGUCCUAGGAGAGCAAUUGAAGGCCAUUUAGUGACAUGGGAAAGUGCUUGUGUUCCAAAUGGUAAAUGAAAGCAUGAGACAAAAUCCUGAGUAACCUCUGAUUGGAAUAUAUAUAUAUUCUGCCAUGCGGGGCACUGGAUGGCAUACAGCAAUGAGAGUAGUGUGGGCCCUCCUCUUAAGGCCCCAGUCAAAUGGCUGCCAACCAUUCAACACAUGCCUACAUCUUUACCCAGAAAAUGGAGACAUUCCUGAGAUCAUUAGAGAUGAGCCAGGCAAGGAAGCAUGGAUUGAUACCUAGAGAGACCCUCCUAGUUGAAUUUCCAGCAUUUCCUUUUUCUGUUUAGGCCAGGAUCCGUGAGAACUGCCCCCAGAACUAGACAGAAUUGACCUCGGGGAAAAUGCUGUAGAUGUAAUGCUGAGUGAACCAGAACAAAACUAUGAAGACUGGGCCUAGUGGAAAUUGAAUUCUUAAAGGAGAAGGUGCCUGAUAAAGGUGGUUACUUCUGGACCUCAGUUUGAUUUCUGAUGAAAGCCAAAGCUAAGUGCCUCAGUGUGAGCAGGUUUUCUUAAACUGGGCAAGAUACAAGGUAACCAUAUUUUCUGGCGCCUUCGCCUCUUUUUUUUUCAGACGGGAUGGGCGGGAGAAGAGGGCCUGGGGGAAGGGUACCGAAUAUUUGUUGGCAAAACUAGUGCACUACUGCCAUCCUGAGGAAAUCAUUUAAAAACAACCUACGCCGUUUUUGCGUUGUUUCCGUGAGGACUUUCGGUUCAGAAAGGUCCGUUCAGUGGAGAGGCUAAGCACGCCCUGGCCGCAAAUUGGACCUCUCUGGCUUAUCUGAGUUGUUGCGGGAACUCUGGCAAAGGACUCCUAACGGUACGACAGAACUGAGGUCUUGGCUUAGGAGCGGGUCAGUGAGGAGGCAGGACAGAACCAGGAAGUCCCGGCACCGGAAGUUGUGGGUGGGGCUUUGGUUUCUUCCUAGCAUGGGUGACGUUAGAAGAAGCUUUUUGGAGCUCAGUGCAGGCCUUAUUGUCUUCUGUCUCCUGUCCCAGCUCUUCAGAGGGUGAGGCAAGCUUGUUCACAGUGUUCUGGAGCCUUAGAGUCUGGGCUCCUUGUGUUAGCAGCAUCGCAGUGUGCUAUCGCAAGCCGGGCAAUUUGAGGCAGACGUGUGUACUGGGGGGGUCUCAGAUACAACAAAAGCCGGGAACCUACUGCUUGAGCAAGGAGGACAAGUUGAGAAGCAUCGGAAGCCAUCCUGCCAAGCCAAGACGACCCAAACCUUGUGCUACGGGAUCAGAGGCAUACACAUACGGACCCCAAAAUAGCAAGGAAGGUUACAAAGAAUUCUCUGAGCUCAAAGGCAGCAAAGGCAGUUGCUUGCUUCUGGUUUCUCAAAUCUCAGGCAAAGGCCUGUCAACAGGGCUCUGCUCUCAUCUCAGUUCUCUUGCUGGGCUUGGGGGAGAGGGAGACUUAACAGCUUUUAGUUGUCCCAGAGGAUGUGGAGGUCCUCGAAGCCUAGCUAUUCUCAUACUUACAUUUGUUCUCUGUCAUUGCUUCGUAAGUUCCCUACUUGAGGAUGCCUGGUAAGCUUGACAGGAGAGCCCACUGAGUGUUGAACAUUCUCAGACCUGUAUUUCUUCCUCCCCAAGAUAGCGGUGGAUGCCUAGAACUUCUUGGGAUUCACUCCCUGAUUGAGGAACACUGUGGUGCCCUUCUUUCCUUAUUACUCUGGCUCCAUUGGAUCUUUUAGAGUAGUUGAAGGUGAUUUUGUCUUGUGCUUGGGUGGGAGCUUCCUGUGACUGAAAAUAAUCAUUUCUAUUCCUGCUGCAUUUAAACUGGUGGCAGAUGGGUAAAGAAAUUAAAGAGGCAAUUUACAAAAGAAGAAAUCCAACUGUUUAUAAAUGAAAAGACACUGAAAUUUACUAGUGUUCAGGAAGCUGCAAUGGUCAACAAACAUUGUGUUUAUGUGUAUAUCAUUAAUUUAUAAAUAUAUGGACACGUAUUUAUAUAUAUUUAUCUAUGCAUACAUAUCUAUGUUAUGGAUAUAUAUGUAUGCAUAUUAAGUUAUAUAUAAUUUUUACUAUAUAUAGGUGUGUAUAUAUACAUGUAUGUGUAAAUAUAUGUAUGUAUAUAGAUGUAUACACACACACUAUUAAAUAAUUCUGUUAAGUCUUUUUUUCUCCAAGGCCUAGAGCAAAGUGUGGAACAUGGCAGGAACUAGAUAAGUAUCUUCUGAAUGAAUAUAGGAUUGCCUACACAUAUUGAGAGAUCUGGAAUGAAAAACAUCAAAGUGUGAAUACUAUUUACCACACUACCAUAUACUGCUUAGGAAUGGGUGAUGAUGCUUUUUUUUUUUUUUUUUUAACAUUUUUUUUACAAGAAAGUGUGUGUGUUUUUUUUUAAAAUUGAACAUUUACUUCAAUAUACUUAAAAAUAGGAUCCCAGGUUAUUUAAUAUCAUCAAUAAUAAGGCAUUUUUUAAAAUGCAUAUCUAUUUUAUUCUUGUCUAUUUCUCUUAGAGAUAAAUUUUAAGUUUUAAAAAUUAAGUUUUGCCUUUUAAAAAAAUUGUCUUCUGAAGACUCAUGACAUGAAAAGUUAAUGAUGCCAAGAGGGUAUGAAACUGAAACUCAAGUUUGUCCCACAUAUAAUCACAUCUAACCCACCCAUACAGAUAAUAUAAAUGAAAAGAAUACAGCAAAACAAAACUUAGCAGUACCUAUAUUGAGAUGAUAUGAUCACAGGUGUUCUUUAACUGCUCCCUGAUAAUAACUUAUUUCAUGGUGCCUAUAUUACAUUUGCAAUUUAGGCCAAAUGUAAAGCAAUUUCCAGAAUAAAGGGAUACAAGAAAGCUUACAAAGGGUAUUACAUUAUAUGGGAAAAUACUCAUGAUACAAUAUAAGAUGCAACCAAGGUAAGAUUUCUAGGUAACAUGGCAAGUUGAACAUGGCAUCUAAUUUUUUAUCCUGAUUUCCCUCCAAAGUGGAAGCAAAGAGAUUUUUCUAAAAGGUAUAAACUCACAAUACAGAAAAAGUAAGAGCAGAGACAGCAUCAAAAGUGUUUAGAAGCUGGCAGAUGGAAAAUGAUCAAAUUAAUAGUAGACAAAAGAAAAAUUAAUCCUGAUACAGCAGAGGGGAAAGUAGAGAACCAACCUGAUUUAAACCAAACUAGACUUUCACUGUGUUCAAAUUACACCUCAACAAACCUGACAGUACCUCUCCCAAGUAAAGAGGAGGAGGAAAUGGAAGAAGAUGAAGAAGAGGAGGAGUAAGAAAAAAGAGGAGAGAAGGAGGAAGAAGAGGAAGAAAUUAGAUUCCCUAAUUUCCUCCCCCGUUCUGUGCAGCUGGGCUACUGUGCCUCUCUACCUAAACAAAAUACAGGUGAUUAUUCUCUAAAAAAGCCAAAAUAAGUAUUCUCUGGACUGAGGACCAGCACAUAAAGUGGCAGGCUGGGUCACCCUACUGAAAACAGGGUAAGUGAAAAUGUGCCUACUGGAUGCUAAUAAACAUGGUCCUCUUCUUCAUUUGGUUUCUAGAACACUAGCAGCAAAGCUUUUGCCUUCUAGAGGGAAGAGCUGUAAAAGCCUUCUCUGGAGAAUUAAACUUCCAAGCCAGAUCACUCUACAGUGAAGUCCAGAAGCACUAUAUAAUCACUCAGAGUUUCGAAACCACAUUUACAUCAGUCUAGGAUUGAGUGGAAAACUAAGGAUUCUCAAGUAUCUAAAGGGAGCCCUAACAAGAAAGAUACAAACCAAAACAUAGAAGAACUAUCUUGGAGAAAACCAACUGAAAGGGAGAAGAUAACUUUAAAAGUUAAUUAUUAUCAGUGUCAUCACACAGGCAAGAGAUAAUGUUGCAGCUAUGACAGAAGAAAAGGCUACAAUGAGAAAGACCAAAGUUACAAGGGAAAGGAACAGUACAAAUAAAAAUAAAGUAGCAGAAAUACAAAACUCAACAAAGAGGUUGGAAAAAGACUUUACUUGUAAUAUCAAAAAUGGGAAAGAAAAAGAACUAAAAAGAAAAUUAUAGUAUAUCCGUAAAUGCCAUUGAUUAUCUGCAUAAUAGGAGUUCCCAGAAAUUUCACAGGAAUGUGGAAUAGGAUAUGCCACAUUGAAAGGAGCCAUCCAGUUGCCGGUGCAGUGGGUGAAAAGAGGAGGACAUAUUGGGAAACUUCAGAACCCUGGUAACAGAGGGAAGAUCAUAUAACUAACAUACUAAUAUGAAGAAACAGAAUGACUUUCAAAUUCUGAACAUCAACCCUGGAAUCUAGAAUGUAUUGGAACGAUGCCUUUAACAUUCUGGAAAAAAUAGUAUUUCCAGCUUAGAAUUUUAUACACAGCAAAACUUUCAAUGAAAUGUAAGGGUAAAAAUAUCCUCAAAUAUGCAAGGUCUUAAAAAUUUCCUCACGGGGCGCCUGGGUGGCUCAGUCGGUUAAGCGUCCGACUUUGGCUCAGGUCAUGAACUUGUGGUCUGUGAGUUCGAGCCCCACAUUGGGCUAUGUGCUGACAGCUCAGAGCCUGAAACCUGCUUCAGAUUCUGUGUCUCCCUCUCUCUCUCUGCCCUUCCCUUGCUCAUGCUCUGUGUCUCUCUGUC